AAUAAAAUAGCUAAAUAUAAGCAACUAAGUUCAUAACUUUGAGAUCAUAAAAAUGUUUUGUUA
rnacentral:tRNA from 1 species